CUACGGGAUGCAGCAGUGAGGAAUAUUGCACAAUGGGGGGACCCUGGUGCAGCAACGCCGCGUGGAGGAUGACGCAUUUCGGUGUGUAAACUCCUUUUAUAUGUCAAGAAAAUGACGGUAGCAUAUGAAUAAGCACCGGCGUAACUCCGUGCCAGCAGCCGCGGUAAUACGGAGGGUGCAAGCGUUACUCGGAAUCACUGGGCGUAAAGGACGCGUAGGCGGGUUGGAAAGUCAGGUGUGAAAUCCUACAGCUUAACUGUAGAACUGCACUUGAAACUUCUAAUCUAGAGUAUGGGAGGGGGAGAUGGAAUUAGUGGUGUAGGGGUAAAAUCCGUAGAUAUCACUAGGAAUACCUAAAGCGAAGGCGAUCUCCUGGAACAUUACUGACGCUAAGGCGUGAAAGCGUGGGGAGCAAACAGGAUUAGAUACCCCCGUAGUC
rnacentral:rRNA from 1 species